UGGGGAAUUUUGGACAAUGGGCGAAAACCUGAUCCAGCCAUGCCGCGUGAGUGAAGAAGGCCUUCGGGUUGUAAAGCUCUUUCAGCCGGAAAGAAAUCGCGCAGGAUAAUACUCUGCGUGGAUGACGGUACCGGAAGAAGAAGCACCGGCUAACUACGUGCCAGCAGCCGCGGUAAUACGAAGGGGGCUAGCGUUGCUCGGAAUUACUGGGCGUAAAGGGAGCGUAGGCGGACAUUUAAGUCAGGGGUGAAAUCCCCGGGCUCAACCUGGGAAUUGCCUUUGUGACUGCAAGGCUUGAGUGCGGCAGAGGGGGAUGGAAUUCCGCGUGUAGCAGUGAAAUGCGUAGAUAUGCGGAGGAACACCGAUGGCGAAGGCAAUCCCCUGGGCCUGCACUGACGCUCAUGCACGAAAGCGUGGGGAGCAAACA
rnacentral:rRNA from 1 species